UACGUAGGGGGCAAGCGUUGUCCGGAUUCAUUGGGCGUAAAGGGCGUGUAGGCGGCCAGGUAGGUCGGUUGUGAAAACUGGAGGCUCAACCUUCAGAGGUCGACCGAAACCAGCUGGCUAGAGUCCGGGAGAGGAGAGUGGAAUUCCUGGUGUAGCGGUGAAAUGCGCAGAUAUCAGGAAGAACACCCGUGGCGAAAGCGGCUCUCUGGAACGGUACUGACGCUGAGAAGCGAAAGCGUGGGGAGCGAACAGG
rnacentral:rRNA from 1 species